rnacentral:rRNA from 1 species
UACGUAGGGCGCGAGCGUUGUCCGGAUUUAUUGGGCGUAAAGAGCUCGUAGGCGGUUUGUUGCGUCUGCUGUGAAAUCCCGGGGCUUAACCCCGGGCGUGCAGUGGAUACGGGCAGGCUGGAGGCAGGCAGGGGAGAAUGGAAUUCCCGGUGUAGCGGUGAAAUGCGCAGAGAUCGGGAGGAACACCUGUGGCGAAGGCGGUUCUCUGGGCCGGGUCUGACGCUGAGGCGCGAAAGCGUGGGGAGCGAACAGG